AUGAAAUACAUAUAUUAUGUAUAUGUUUCAAUAUAUCGUCGAAAUUAAGAUCAUUCAAUAGAAAGUUACUAAUUACUAUUCAAUAGAAACUACCAAAUACAAACGGUGUCAUGUUGUGCCUGGUUGUGCUGCAUUGAAGAUCUCGAAUUUUGGCUGUCAUUAUCAUUAAAUUGUCACGAACGAUUAGUGGAAUCUCGACAUGGCGACGCG